rnacentral:rRNA from 1 species
UACGUAGGUGGCAAGCGUUGUCCGGAAUUAUUGGGCGUAAAGCGCGCGCAGGCGGUCCUUUAAGUCUGAUGUGAAAGCCCACGGCUCAACCGUGGAGGGUCAUUGGAAACUGGGGGACUUGAGUGCAGAAGAGGAAAGCGGAAUUCCACGUGUAGCGGAUGAAAUGCGUAGUAGAUGUGGAGGAACACCAGUGGCGAAGGCGGCUUUCUGGUCUGUAACUGACGCUGAGGCGCGAAAGCGUGGGGAGCAAACAGG